rnacentral:rRNA from 1 species
CCUACGGGGGGCAGCAGUGAGGAAUAUUGGUCAAUGGACGCAAGUCUGAACCAGCCAUGCCGCGUGCAGGAAGACGGCUCUAUGAGUUGUAAACUGCUUUUGUACGAGGGUAAACGCAGAUACGCGUAUCUGUCUGAAAGUAUCGUACGAAUAAGGAUCGGCUAACUCCGUGCCAGCAGCCGCGGUAAUACGGAGGAUUCAAGCGUUAUCGGGAUUUAUUGGGUUAAAAGGGUGCGUAGGCGGACAGUCAAGUCAGCGGGAAAAAUGCGGUGCUCAACGCCGUACAGCCGUUGAAACUGGCAGUCUGGAGUGGGCGAGAGGUAUGCGGAAUGCGUGGUGUAGCGGUGAAAUGCAGAGAUAUCACGCAGAACUCCGAUUGCGAAGGCAGCAUACCGGCGCCCUACUGACGCUGAGGCACGAAAGCGUGGGUAUCGAACAGGAUUAGAUACCCCUGUAGUC